GCACGGCAGUUAGCCGAUCCUUAUUCUUACGGUACCGUCAAGCUCCUACACGUAGGAGUGUUUCUUCCCGUACAAAAGCAGUUUACACACCAUAGAUGCGUCUUCCUGCACGCGGCAUGGCUGGAUCAGGCUUGCGCCCAUUGUCCAAUAUUCCUCA
rnacentral:rRNA from 1 species